GGCGGAGAGUAGAAGAGAGAUGGAGGGGCGCCGGCUGGACAGCGACACAAGCAGACAGUCUGUUGAGAAUGUUGCCAUGAAUAUUGCUUGUUUAGAAGAUAGCAAAAUGCCCCCACUGAAAACAGAGUAAAACAGCAGCAGGACUUACAUAUUCUAGAAAGAGUAACGUCAGCGAACAUCACAGCUAGAGGCAGGCAGUCAAAGUGAAGGAGAGACAGGAGCAAGCUGGCAGGGCGUUUAGACAGCAUGGAGACUCUGAAGUCAAUAGGCAGAGGACAGAGCCAUAUCAGCUACAUCCAACAUUCAUUGACGCUCUUUUGAAGUUUCCAAGAAAACUGGGGCGAUCCAUGCUGGUGGGUUCUCAUAAGAGGGCAGGAACACCACUGGAAGAUGGUCGUCAUCAUAGCGUAUCUUCUGGUCCAUUACCACUGCACAAAAUAGAUGGAUAAAGAUUUAUUAAAAAAGUGUCAUUCUUCUCACAUGUUGAGUUAUGACUUGUGACUUGACGACACAACAUAGCUACCUUGCACAAUACUAAUUAUUAACAAAACUUGCCAAGCCCAGUUUUUUUAGCGUUUGUAUUACAUUUUCAGUGUGAAAACAAUGAUUAAUAUGCACUAAACGAAGCUUCUAUACGUCGAAUGAACUCAAUGUAAUGUAAAUAUGUAAUCAUGAGGCUAGCUCGUGCUAAGCUAAGUUACCCACUGCUACAUCGUACACUAUUUUGAAUUAUUCCCCAAACAGCCCACAACAUGUUGCGUGACAAUCUAUGAGGCUAUUGUUAGCAAUGAUAGCACAGUAUGCUAUGUAUUAGGCAUAUAAAAUGAAGGUAAUAAACAAAACAUCAGCAUUAUGUACAGUAUACGUCGAACAAUACAUGAUGUAUACCAAACUUGUUUUCAUGGAGGGCCACAUAGCAGUCAUGGCUGCCCUCAAAGGGCCACUUCUAACAGUGAUUGUAAGAACAUAAAAGUAUAAUCGCCUCAUUAUAUUAUUGCCUAUGCAUUUGGUUAUUUGAUUUUUGUACGUGCAAAUUGAUGGAUAACUUGCUUUGAAAUCGUAAGUCAAAUCCAUCCAUUUUCUACCGCUUAUUCCCUUUGGGGGCGCUG